CAUUUCAACUGAUCCUCACGAUCGUGGGCACCAUUGCUGGCAUCCUCAUUCUUAGCAUGGUGAUUGCAUUGAUCUUCUCAGUGAGAUCAAAGAACAAAAGCAGGAAUGUGGAAGAAGAGAACUUGAUUGAGAAGCAUUUUCAAAAUCUGAAACUGCAGGAGACCGGCUUUAGCAAUCUAGGAGCAGACGGGAGCAUCUUCCCUAAGAUCAGGUUGAACCUGCCCAAAGAGAGUCAGCCACAGAAUCCCUACGUAGUCCAGGGUGGUAUACCCAACGCAGACUAUUAGAACGGUAAAAAUUUGGAACCAUCCAUGGCCCCUCAACCCAUCGUAUGAGCUUUUAUUUUGAGUGUUUCAAAGACUGAUGGAGAAGGGAGCAGCCAUGAAGAUCUGGCCUUUGGUAUUUCUCUUCCAUCCAGCCUCUCUGAAUGGAAGUUGUGACUGUUUGCAAUGAAUACAGCUUGUUUGCUAACUAAGUGCCUAUGAAAUUGAAUGCACAUAGGUGCUAUUAGUAAGCGUCUAUACUUAAGAUAGUUGACUUGCUCCAAUCAGUACAAUGGUUAGGUUUCUUUUUUUCUGGCCGUGCAGCAGUAAUCAUUCUAUCUAUUUAGAGGGAAGCUCCCCAGGAUUUUUCACUCCUGAAAGAGUCUAGAAGAAUGUUGCUUUGAGUUGAUACCCUGUACAUGAGUGACGUAUUCGGGGAGACCCUUACACAUCAGCUGUGGAGAUGAUCCCAGGAGAUGGGAGGAGAUACCAUCCUUGAAGAUGCUCGGGUUCAUUCUCUGGCAAGUUAAAACAGGGAAGCUCCUUCUUUUCCUCAAAUGUAGGGAUUCCAUUACCCUUGAACUGCCAGGAGCUUGUGACCUGGGCUCAAAUCAAGAGGACAGAUAAAAAGAGGCAGGUCUCUUAGCUUUUUGGGAGCAGUUACUGGCAAUCCAGGGCCUUCUUACUGUGAACUAGAAGGCCUGAACUAGAAAUGUCCUCUGCAGGGGUACGUUCUAGAGGUUUUGAAAUGCCGGUAGGUAGGGGAGUCAGUGGGGGAAAAUGAACCAGGAGGAGGAGGAACAGAGGUAGAAGGAAGCUGGGCUGGUAGGCUGAGUAAGGGAGAAGGUACCCAGGGCCCACCUUCCUCCUCAGAGUCCCCUCCUCAAUGAGCAAAUGGGCAUUUCCUCUAAUUCAUGCCCUACCCAAGAUUUAGAACCUAGGAGAGGAUGUGAAGACAAACCCCCCAGAGCAAGAGCUUGAAGUCACUUUUGAAUUGUAGACAUUCUGACUAGCUGAUGGUGAGAGAGGGAGCUUGUGCUCUGGAUCCAAAUGUUCAGCCUCGUGAUACAGACUCCAGAGGUAUUCCACCAAAGCCUCAGCCUUGCCUGGGGACAGAGCCUUAGCCGUGGUCACUAACACACACACAGCCAAGAAUGGGGGCAGCCACCUCCAGCACAGUCUUUCUUUAAUGUUAGUAGCAUCCUUGUUUAUGUCUAGUGUCUGGUCUUUUUGCAAGUUAUUUUUAUUUGUUGUUAUUAUUAUUAUUUGUUCUUGACUGUUAACUAUA